AACACUGUUGCUAGGCAACUUGGAAAUGUAUACACCAAGCAUAAACUAGCUUAGACUUGAAGAUAAUGUACUGUAUGUAGCUAGCUAUCAUACAGCAGUUAAAUCUUUUACACAAGGAUUCUAACAGCAGAAUGACAGUGGAAAUGAUACGAAAAUCGUCGACUGCUAACAGAACCUCCCUUUGAGUUUCACUAUACUGAGAAAAAUCAACAUUACCUCAACUUCCAAACUUGAGAAAUAGGAGCUCUGUCUUAAUGACUCCUGCCAUCCAUCAGUCAAGCAUCAGAGAGAACCAGCCGAUAAACACACUUCCUCUUAACAGAGCCCUAUCUCACCUGAACACCUUGUCCGAUAAAGAAGAAGGGAGGCUAACUGCUGGCAAAUAUACAGUAUAAUGGCUGAGAAAAUGCUCCAGUGAGAAGCAAUCACAACCUCCGUGUUUUGUCGUGUGAACUGUCAUGAUGGUUGUUAUGAGGACUGUAUGACGUUUUCUAUGACCGCUGGUUCUCAAAGUGGGGUCCGGUGACCCCCGGGGGAUCGGUGAAACACAGCCGGCGGGGUAAAUAAUGUAGAGAAUCUAUGGUCAAAUUCAAUAAAAUAGAAACCCUCACUGAACUUGUAAUGGUUUUCAUGAUUAUAAUGGGAGUUGUAUUGGUUUCUGUUUUUGAAAAUACGAAUUCGAUUUUCGAGCAACGAUGAUGAUGAUGAUUCAGAAAAGCGUGUGUGUGUGUGUGUGUGUGUGUGUGUGUGUUUGAUGAUGUCAUCUUGAUUUGCACAACAGGAACUUGAUGGAAGUAUCCUUUAACUGACAUUUUGUCCAAAAAAAAUUUUUUUUUUUUAAACUUUUCUGCUUACAAUCUUCCAAACAUUUGAGUGGUGACAUGUUGGAGUGGGGAGAAAUGGGGUCUUAUUUAUUUAUUUAUUUAUUUAUUUAUAAAUAAAUAAAUAAAAGAUGGGGUGAACAUAAUGGCUGGAUAAAAGCGGGUUGAUUCGGUGUGUGUGUGUGUGUGUGUGUGUGUGAGUAAUAGGGGAAGGGGAUUGUUUACUGACUGGCUGUGUCAGACCCUCGGCUCUUAGGGCCUCUAAUGCAGCACAGCUGUGAAGGGGCUCGGACACUACGCAUCUGCUGAAGGGGGCCAUUGUGUGUAAUUAAUGUUCCUCUUUUGCCUGCAUACAGCCUUGACUCUGACGAUCGCAAAAAAAAAGCGUUUAACUACAGACACACGCUGCUUUAGAAAAGUUAAUUAAUGUGCUGCCUGUGCUGGUAUGUCUGUGUGCGUGUGUGUGCGUGUGUGUGCGAGACAGCGGUUAAGCCAGUAAAUCUGUACUAUAUGGAC